rnacentral:rRNA from 1 species
ACUCAAAGGAAUUGACGGGGACCCGCACAAGCAGUGGAGCGUGUUGUUUAAUUCGAUACAAAGCGAAAAACCUCACCAGGGUUUGACAUGUAUCUGCAAAGCCUAUGAAAGUAGGCCUUCUUCGAGAGUGAUACACAGAUGCUGCAUGGCUGUCGUCAGCUCGUGGCGUGAGCUGUCCCCUUAAGUGGGUAAACGAGCGCAACCCUCACCGUAUGUUAAAUAAUUCAUGCGGAACAGCCCCGAUUUUUCGGGGAGGAAGGCGAGGAUGACGUCAAGUCAGCACGGUUCUUACACCCUGGGCCACAAACACCCUACAAUGGCUAAGAACAACGAGUUGCAACCUAGCAAUAGGAAGCAAAUCUCUUAAAAUUAGCCUCAGUUCAGAUUGGGGUCUGCAACUCGACCCCAUGAAGUCGGAAUUGCUAGUAAUCGCGGAUCAGCGGGCCGCGGUGAAUACGUUCUCGGGUCUUGUACACACCGCCCGU